CCAUCAUCUUGUCCACAGCUGUGUGAUGGAUACAUGGGCCUGGUUAAAAUACCCUCCGCAGAUCCUCAUCGCCAAUUAGACGGCUGAUAGAUGGCAUUAUCAGUCACGUUAAUGAGCACGGACUGACACACGUGCCUGCUGUGGUCACCUGGCCUACGUGCCCCCGGUACCAUGCCGCACCACAUUUACCAGUUCCCAUCCAGCUGGGCACGUUAAACAUUGAUAGCCCACGAAUUUGAUCCUGCUUCCAUGAGGUCUAGUAUAGAACAUUCAGAUCAACCCAAACUCUGAUUUAAAGUCAAUUUACUUCCAAAGUAUCGCUAGCAUCCACUUCCACUAAUUCCAAAGCAUCACUUGCACUUAAACAGGGUACAAAAUAAAAGUAGAAAUAUUCUAUACAUAUAUUAUACACGGACACAUAUAUGCAGAUAUGUUUACAAAAUUCCCUUUCAAUUUUUUAUUUAUUUUAUUUUUCUGGGGGGGAAAAAAAAUCGAUGCAUUCAAUUCAAUUUAUUUUUCAUUCAUUGUCAUUUCCACCCAAACAAACAUUUUUGCCCCAAUAAAGUUUUUUUCAAAGUCAGUGAGACAGAGGUGCCAGUGAAGAGCUUGAGGUAAAAUAAGACGUGUUGUGUCGAGAAAACGAAAAGAAAUCAAGUGCCAAAAGUGAUCGCGGUUGAAGAAACUCCGAACUAUAUUCAUACACUAUGUUAAGUUCGUUCACAAACAGCACGUGGAGGUUGAACCUGAGGAGCUUGAUCAUUGCUGGCAAACCAUAAGAUGCAGCUUCAACUCAUUGGAUGACAAGUUUGCAGUUUUGUCCCAGCGCUCGAGAAUCACAGCUUUAUUAGGUCUACUUUUACAGUCUUCCCAGCUAACAAAUCCCCAAGAAGCAGACAUUGAGCUGAAGCUUGAGAGAGCAGGUAGGUCUAGUGUGUCCUUCAAACCUUACUUUGUUGUCCCUGCCUGCAGAAAUGAGAGGAAUCGCCCAAAGUAGGUCAGUCCUCGAUCUCCUGGGUCAAACACGCCUUCCUAUCUGCACAGCACGCGCUCGACAUGAUAGCGUCAGCUGUGACAGCGUUCUGCUGCUGCGGUCUGGAGCCUCGGGGUCCGGCGGUCGAGGGUUCGAGAUCCGCUGUUGGUCAUCAGAGGGAUAAGAAGGCCGGUUCGUGACCUGUCAUAGCCACAGGCGAGUGAAAAUAGCUCAAAGCCUUUGCUUGGGAUUCUGGGAUUGAGAUGCACGGGUGAAGUCGCGUUUGCGAAUUAUUCUCAAAGAUGUUGAGGCCCCUGCAAAUUUCCCAGAAUAAAGCUGUCAUCGAAUCCUUGUCACCGCUGUCACAUGACCAGAGUCUGCAGAUGCUUAGUCAAUUAAUUGGCUGGUAAAUUAAUUUUCUGUGCACGCCAUAUGUUUAAAGUUGUCAUUUAAAGGGAACAUAUCAUGGAAAACAAGUGUUGAUAAUGAUUUCACAUGCAAACUGUUAGCAAAUCAUAACUGAAGUUAUUAAAUCUUAAAGGUAAAGUUGCAGAAACUGAUGCUCCAUCAUGGCAAAAUUUCACUGGAAAGACAAAUAUGUACUUGCAUUUGCGUUCGCAUGUGAAUAGUGUUUCUUAGGAACACGUGUCAGAAAAAGGGUGGAAAAUUGUGAUCUAAAAAUAAAGUAUGACAGUUUAAAAGAAAACAAAGCCUUUAUUUAGGACGAUUGUGAUUGUGACAAAACAAUUGUGACAAUUUAUAUAUAUUGUGAAGUACAUCUAAAAGUACAUUGGUCAUGUUAUUAAUUGCAUUCAUUUUCUUUAUGCACAAUUCAA